CUACCAAGACAGUGACGGUUGACGGGGAAUCAGGGUUUGAUACCGGAGAGGGAGCCUGAGAGAUAGCUCCCACGUCCAUGGACGGCAGCAGGCGCGAAAAUUGCCCACUCUUUGUAGGAGGCAGUUAUGAGACGUGAAAUUGAAUAUUUUGUAAAGAAGAAUAGGAGAAUUGGAGGGCAAGUUUGGUGCCAGCCGCCGCGGUAAUACCGACUCCAAGAGUGUGUAUGAGAGAUGCUGCAGUUAAAAGGUCCGUAGUCAUAGAAAGAUAAAUAGGGAUAAGAAAUCUCUUAAAUUAGUUAUAGAAAAACCGAUGGGGAACAUAGUAUACCAGGGCGAGAGAUGAAAUGCCAAGACCCCUGGUGGACUAAGCGAGGCGAAAGCGAUGUUCUUGUAGGUAUUUGAUGAUCAAGGACGAAGGCUGGAGUAUCGAAAGUGAUUAGAUACCGCAGUAGUUCCAGCAGUAAAAGAUGCC
rnacentral:rRNA from 1 species